GCAGACCUGGUGAUAAGCUGGUUCAUCAUUAGCGGGAGGUGUGCUUUGGAACUUUUUGUUGAAAUACUGGGAUCACUGCGCGAUGUCUAUUCAACACUGGGAAUCCGAUUAUCUCGGGCUUUUUCUUUGGGUUCAACUAUAAUAACUAAAGGGGAAGAGAAUUCACCAUAUGUAGAACCGCUCUUGGGAAUUCUUUUAAGAAUGGAUCUCUAAACAAUCAGAGACCUAUAUAUACAUGAAGCUGUACUGCGGUUACAAACGCUUGUAAGAAAGAAAAAACACAGUGGCGUGAGGUGAAAAUAUUAGGAUUAUGACCUGCUUGUAGAGCUCUAAUUUUGCAGGGUGAUUAAAUUCCAUUACAAGUUAAUUAAACGAUGUUGAUUACAGCGUUAUGGCUUCCAUAUAAUAUCUAGAUGGAUGGUAAGGCUACGUAAUUUGAGGUUUUUAUUCAGAACCUACAUUUUAAUUUUUACGCGUUUUUUUUUAACCUGU